rnacentral:lncRNA from 1 species
GAACGACCAUGUUGCUGAACGAUGUGUUUGCCCUGAGGGCUCAAUCUUGUUCAGUUCUCACACUGGCCUCUGUGUUCCAGAAUGUGGUUGUGUGGGACCAGAUGGAUCCCCAAAACCGCCGGGUAGCAAAUGGAAGAGCAACUGUCAAGAGUGUACAUGUGAUCCUUUGACUAUAAGCAUACAUUGUAAGCCACAGAGCUGCCCACCAACAACCCAUGAUUGUGAGGAGGAAGGAUACAUGCCCGUCUCUGUGGUAAAUGCAACAGAUCGAUGUUGCCCCA